rnacentral:tRNA from 1 species
GGCACUAUGGCCGAGUGGUUAAGGCGAAAGAUUAGAAAUCUUUUGGGCUCUGCACGCGCAGGUUCGAGUCCUGCUGGUGUCG